CCUACGGGAGGCUGCAGUGGGGAAUAUUGCACAAUGGGCGCAAGCCUGAUGCAGCCAUGCCGCGUGUGUGAAGAAGGCCUUCGGGUUGUAAAGCACUUUCAGCGGGGAGGAAGGCGGUGAGGUUGAUAACCUCAUCGAUUGACGUUACCCGCAGAAGAAGCACCGGCUAACUCCGUGCCAGCAGCCGCGGUAAUACGGAGGGUGCAAGCGUUAAUCGGAAUUACUGGGCGUAAAGCGCACGCAGGCGGUCUGUCAAGUCGGAUGUGAAAUCCCCGGGCUCAACCUGGGAACUGCAUUCGAAACUGGCAGGCUAGAGUCUUGUAGAGGGGGGUAGAAUUCCAGGUGUAGCGGUGAAAUGCGUAGAGAUCUGGAGGAAUACCGGUGGCGAAGGCGGCCCCCUGGACAAAGACUGACGCUCAGGUGCGAAAGCGUGGGGAGCAAACAGGAUUAGAUACCCCGGUAGUC
rnacentral:rRNA from 1 species